rnacentral:rRNA from 1 species
AACCAACAGGGAUUGCCUCAGUAACUGCGAGUGAAGCGGCAAAAGCUCAAAUUUGAAAUCUGGCCCGCCCAUGGCGGGCGGCCCGAGUUGUAAUUUGGAGGCGCAUUUUCGGAGCGGGCGCCGUCCCAAGUUCCUUGGAACAGGACGUCGCAGAGGGUGAGAAUCCCGUGUCUGGAUGGCCGCGCCGCUCCAUGUGAGGUGUGUCCGACGAGUCGAGUUGUUUGGGAAUGCAGCUCAAAGUGGGUGGUAAAUUUCAUCUAAAGCUAAAUAUUGGCGAGAGACCGAUAGCGCACAAGUAGAGUGAUCGAAAGAUGAAAAGCACUUUGAAAAGAGAGUUAAAAAGUACGUGAAAUUGUUGAAAGGGAAGCGCUUGAGACCAGACUCGGCCGCCGGCGAUCAUCGGUGCUUCUGCGCCGUGCGCUCGUCGGUGGACGGGCCAGCAUCGGUUCUGGCGGCGGGAAAAAGGUCCGGGCAAUGUGGCUCCUCUCGGGGAGUGUUUAUAGGCCCGGGCGUCAUGCCGCCAGCCGGGACCGAGGACCGCGCUUCGGCUAGGAUGCUGGCGUAAUGGUCUUAAGCGACCCGUCUUGAAACACGGACCAAGGAGUCUAACAUCUAUGCGAGUGUUCGGGUGGAAAACCCUUGCGCGUAAUGAAAGUGAUGCGGAGGUGGGAACCCCCUCCCUAGGGGGGUGCACCAUCG